rnacentral:lncRNA from 1 species
GGAAAUAAAAAUGUAAUGAUAUAGAAACUGCCUUUGCUUAAAAGUCACUCCAUGGAACACCUUAAUUAGGACCCCUGCUGCUACAUUACCUAGCUGAUUAUGUCUCUCAGUUUAUGACAACUGGAAAUAUCAUUUAUAGCAACAUGAAAAUCAGCUCUAAGUUGUCUUGGAUAAACCUGACAGAUUGGAAAGCUGCUUUGAAAACUGUAAUGGGAACUUCUAAGACACAGAGACUUAAAACAGUUCCGUGCCUGACAGUUUGUGUUGGAGAGAUGAACAGUGUUUAAAAGAAGAAAAGCCCAUACAGAGCUGCUGUGGAGCCUCUUUUAUUCCUGAUGAUAAUGCGUCUGUCUUGGAGAAGCAGCAGGCUUA